AUAAUUUUAAAAAACCUUUGAAUCUUGAAAGUCACUCACUUAGGGUACGUGAAGCUGCCAAAUUUAUCAGAGAAGGAACAGGCAUCUCUCGCAUGGAGCCGUGGGCCUCGGCGUUAAGGCACUCUUCAGCUACAGGUGGCAGCCCGUUUAGCUCUUCUUAAGGUCUUGUGAUGUCAUUUUCAAGAGGCCAGUAAAGUUCUGUGUCACGUGGGGCCUCUCAGGAGGGGUGCGGAGGUGGGGGAGGGGCGGGGAGCAGGACUCCACUGCUUUGGCCUCAAGGAGUUUGGUCGACACUUGAAGACUGACCAAGAAAAAGUAAUUUGUCCCAGUUUUCUCCCACCCUUUGUUUUCUUCUGCUCCUCUUGGGCUUGUUUUUUUUUUGGGGGGGGGGGUUCUUUCUUUUUUCUUUUCUUUUUUUUUUUUUUUUCCCGCAGUAAGUUCUGAAAAUCGCCUCCCAGAGGAGAUAACGCGUUCUCCUCUGUAACCCGUCCUUCCACGUCCCGGUGGUGGGGGGGGGGGUCCCGGUUCUCAUUCUUUCGGGGACCUGCAAGGAGCCCCGCCCGCAGGCUUUGAACCGAUUUCGGCUCCGCGUCCAGGAGCAGGCCCUACGUAGGGCCGGGGGAAUUCAGCCGGCAAAAAUGAGACGUCAACUAAGCGCCGUUUCAGUCCCAGAGCCAGGUCGUCCAUGGGGGUUUUCAAGCGUUUUCUCGAUGACUGAUUUUUCUAGAAGCGAAUGGAUUUUAUUCUCCCAGGUGUAAAGGCUACCUCCUGCUUCACACCCGGGUAACAUAAAAGACAGCGCUGGGACCGAAACUCGGGUCUCCUGGGUCCUGGUUGGCUGGAGAGAGGGGCAAUGAACGUCCCGAAAAGAAUUCUGUCUUUUCUCAAUAUCUGGGAGGACUCAUAACAGGGUAGAUAAUCAGGAUGGAUGUUUGGCAGGUGGGAAUCUUUGAGACGGUCUGUGCACACAAUUUUAACUCUACUUUUGCCAGUUUGGAGGACAUGAAAUUCCUGAUGAGUGUAUGUUAAAAGGGAAUAGAGAAGGUAAUAUACACAACGUUCUAAAAUAAUUGCUUUUCGUGGAGGCAAAGUGGCUAAGCAGUCCAAAGCGCUGGAUGAAGGCUCUAAUCUCUUGGGGUGUGGAGGUUCUAGCCUGUUUAGCCACAGAAGUCAUGAAACCACUAUGUGGUAUUUGUUAAAUAAUGAGUUUUGAUACUUAAAAUAAAAUGGAAUUAUUGGAGUGAAUUUUGUUUGGUUCUGUUGAAUUUGUUAUUCUUACACACACUAGCCAGAUUCUACUUAUUUGUGGGCGGCAAGCCACCCAGGCACCGAGGCAAGAGACAGAGGACACGAGCUGUUCCAGUAUAAUAAAAUAUAAAACAAGAAUAGUUAUACCAAA
rnacentral:lncRNA from 10 species